GAUGAACGCUCGCGAUAGGCUUAACACAUGCAAGUCGAGGGGCAGCAUGGUCUUAGCUUGCUAAGACUGAUGGCGACCGGCGCACGGGUGCGUAACGCGUAUGCAACUUGCCUCACAGAGGGGGAUAACCCGUCGAAAGACGGACUAAUACCGCGUACACUUGGGAUAGGGCAUCCUGACCCAAGGAAAUGAAAUUCGCUGUGAGAUAGGCAUGCGUCCCAUUAGCUAGUUGGUGAGGUAACGGCUCACCAAGGCGACGAUGGGUAGGGGAACUGAGAGGUUGAACCCCCACACUGGUACUGAGACACGGACCAGACUUCUGGGAGGCAGCAGUGAGGAAUAUUGGUCAAUGGGCGAGAGCCUGAACCAGCCAAGUCGCGUGAAGGAUGACUGUCUUAUGGAUUGUAAACUUCUUUUAUACGGGAAUAACAAGAGCCACGUGUGGCUCCCUGCAUGUACCGUAUGAAUAAGCAUCGGCUAACUCCGUG
rnacentral:rRNA from 1 species